GAUGAACGCUGGCGGCGUGCCUAAUACAUGCCAGUCGAGCGAACAGACGAGGAGCUUGCUCCUCUGACGUUAGCGGCGGACGGGUGAGUAACACGUGGAUAACCUACCUAUAAGACUGGGAUAACUUCGGGAAACCGGAGCUAAUACCGGAUAAUAUAUUGAACCGCAUGGUUCAAUAGUGAAAGACGGUUUUGCUGUCACUUAUAGAUGGAUCCGCGCCACAUUAGCUAGUUGGUAAGGUAACGGCUUACCAAGGCAACGAUGCGUAGCCGACCUGAGAGGGUGAUCGGCCACACUGGAACUGAGACACGGUCCAGACUCCUACGGGAGGCAGCAGUAGGGAAUCUUCCGCAAUGGGCGAAAGCUUGACGGAGCAACGCCGCGUGAGUGAUGAAGGUCUUCGGAUCGUAAAACUCUGUUAUUAGGGAAGAACAAAUGUGUAAGUAACUAUGCACGUCUUGACGGUACCUAAUCAGAAAGCCACGGCUAACUACGUG
rnacentral:rRNA from 1 species